rnacentral:rRNA from 1 species
CCUACGGGAGGCAGCAGUAGGGAAUCUUUCACAAUGGGCGAAAGCCUGAUGGAGCAACGCCGCGUGCAGGAUGAAGGCCUUCGGGUUGUAAACUGCUUUUAUAAGCGAGAAAUAUGAUGGUAACUUAUGAAUAAGGAUCGGCUAACUACGUGCCAGCAGCCGCGGUCAUACGUAGGUUCCAGGCAUUAUCCGGAGUGACUGGGUGUAAAGAGUUGCGUAGGUGGCAUAAUAAGUAGCUAGUGAAAUCUGGUGGCUCAACCAUUCAGACUAUUAGCUAAACUGUUAAGCUCGAGACCGUUAGGGGUAACUGGAAUUUCUAGUGUAGGAGUGAAAUCCGUAGAUAUUAGAAGGAACACCAAUAGCGUAGGCAGGUUGCUGGGACGGUUCUGACACUAAGGCACGAAAGCGUAGGGAGCAAACGGGAUUAGAUACCCCAGUAGUC